UGCCAUGUAGACACCACAUUAUCUCAAUUCUACUCUUAACCGCACCACAUUUUGUUUUCCUCACUCCCGAUCCUUCCUCCCCCAUCUCUCUCUCUCUCUCCUUCCCAAGAAAUACCUCACCGAAGCCUCUCUCUCUCUCUCUCUCUCUCAUUUUUUUAUUCUGAUCUGGGUCUGGCAUUUGAAAUCUUGGUCUUCAUUGGCCUCUACAUGAUUUCCGAGAAAGUGGAGGUAUGGGAGGGUCUUCGUUGGUCUUCCAUUUUCCUACAAGUUUUGUUACCUUCAGUGGUAGAAGAUGUUCUUCAACAAAAUGGUAACAGAUUGAGUGAUGGGUUUAGCUUCGAGGAAGGCUAAGGAAGCUUGUAUGAACAAUCAUUCUCUUGAAGUAUUUUUGCUUUCUUUUGUUAAAAAUAAAUUUCUAAAAUUUCAUUAUAUAACGAAUUUUUGAGAGAGGGUCUUGAGAGUUGUUGAAUUAAAACUGGAACUAGCUUGAGAAACAGAAGUGGGCCAGGUUUUGGGAGAUAGGGUUACGUUUUGGAAGAGACUCUGAUCCUGUAUUUUGAAGUUCAUUCUUAGACAAAUGAGAGGAAAUGUCAGGAGCUCCUCCGCUGGUCUAGGAGGUCGUACGACAUGUGGCGGUGGGGUGGGUUCCUUUGAUAGUUUUGGAUUUGCUGGAGAAAAUACUCUCACGGGUUUAGAAUGGAUUUUGAUUUGAGUUGUGCUACAGAGCACACUACAAUUUUAACACACUGGCCGGUGUUAUACAGUAAAAAUAUAAUAAAAACAUAUAUUAUAAAACAUAGGCCAAAACACACACAAAUUCUUAUUUUUCCUUUCAUUUUUUUUCAGAAAAGAGAAGCGAGAUAAGAGGGAAAAAAAUGUAAUUUGCUUGUGUAUGUAAUGAAAUUUUUAUACAUUUAUCUGUUUGUUAGAUAAACUUUUUUUGCAUUCAUUUGUUUGUGUAUUUAACUUGUUAGAUUCAAAUUCUUUUUGCAUUAAUUUGUUUGUGUAUUUUUGUGCAUUAUGUAUGUGCAUUAGACAAGAUACGUACGAGAGUAUAUAUGGGGAUUUUGGAAGAGGUCUGACGUUUUAGGUUAGUGCAACAAUAAUGCGACAUGUGCUAUUUGCAUGAGUUGGCAAAAUGCAUCAUGUAUUGUUCUGUCAAAGCAGAUUGUAAAUUGAACAGUACUCUGUGAUGAUUUCUAUAGUGCCAAAACUUUGGAUUCCCUAGUUUCGAAUAUUUUGCAUUGAAUUUGUGCUUCAUUUAAUUUAGUUUGUCAACUUCAAUGUACAUAUCAGUAUCUAAACAAAUUGCUUGUUGCAAUUCAUUGGCCAAAGAGCAUAAUGGGCAAAGGAGAAGAUAAACAACCCUUAAACCACUCAUCGAAGAUAUCUUUGAGUGAAUGGUCAAGUUCUACAAAUGUGAGAAAAAGCACAAAUUUGUUUUUUUGAAUUUGUCCUCGUUGUUGUUGUUGAUGUCAAAGUAAUGCUAUUUUUAUUUUUAGGCUUAUUAUGAAUCUUUGCCGGGCCUUUACCCCCAUAUAUCCCUCCAGCACUCACUACUCAUUCAAAUUCAUAUACGCCUAUUCCAAAACAUAAUGCUUCUGCAACUACUUACCCCUACAUAUGGGGAAGUCAGCCCCCUUAUAUCCAGCCAUUUGAGAAUCAAGUAAAUUAUUCCGGUUCAUCUAGCGCGGGAACUAAGGAGCUCGCUGGAACUAAAGAAGGUAUCCUUAUAGACUCAAGCGAGUAUCGUAUUGAGCAACAAACUGACAUUACUGAUGGAAAUGGUUAGUCAUAUUUUACUCUCAUUUAUUAAGCAAAUGCUGAUUGUUUCAUAUUUGUCGAUUAAAAAAAUGAUAUCAUUAUUGUGGCAUGAACCAAAAGAACCAGGAGAACCAGAAGACAAUCUUGAUGUGGGGCUUGAGAGAGGUAUUGAUGAUGAGAAGAAUGAGAAAAAAUCUGAAGUUGAGUUGGUCAACGCCCCGAAGUCAGGAAUGAUUUUUAAGAGAACAUGUUGUUAUUGAGUACUACAAGCGGUAUGCAAAGCAAGCAGGCUUUGGUGUAUUGACACAAAGAACAAAACGAGAAUUAGAUGGGACGAUUAAAUACAUUACUGUUGGUUGUGCAUGCGGUGGAAAGCACAAAAGUAGACAAACCGACAUGUCAAAACCACGUCCAACAAAAAAAAAAAUAGAAUGCAAGGCCAAGAUCAAUGCCCAGAAAAUUAAUGGUGAGUGGUGUCUGACAACCAUAGAGCUUGUCCACAAUCAUGGAUUAUUGAGUCCACAAAAAUCUAGAUAUUUGAGAUGUCAUCAGAAUAUAGAUUCAUUCACCAAGUGGAAGCUAGAAGUUAAUGAUAGAGCGGGAAUAAGGAUGAAUAAGAAUUUUAAUGCUUUAGUUGUUGAAGCCGGCGGCUUUAAGAACUUUGAGUUUAUUGAAAAAGACUGCAGAAAUUUCAUUGACAAAGUGAGGCAUCUUCACCUAGGUAAAGGAGGUGCUGGGGCGCUCCUUGAUUAUUUUGAUAGGAAGCGCGAUAUGGACUAUGAUUUUUAUGCCUCUAUGGACUUGGACGAUGAAGAGAGAUUGCGGAAUGUAUUCUGGGUUGAUACACUGAGCAAACCAUCGUACCUAUACUUUGGAGAUGUUGUAACUUUUGGCAUGACGUAUUUGAUUAAUAGGUAUGGGAUGUCAUUUACACCAUUUGUUGGAGCUAAUCAUCAUGGCCAAUCUAUACUUCUUGGUGCUGGAUUAAUAUCCAGUGAAGAUACACAAUCAUUCAUGUGGUUAUUUCGAACAUGGUUGAAGUGUAUGAAUGAUCGAGCUCUAGCUGCAAUCAUAACAGACCAAGAUUGUGCCAUGAAGAGUGGUAUUGUAAUUGUUUUCCCAAAAACUAAGCAUAGAUAUUGUCUGUAGCACAUCAUGAAAAAACUCUUAGAAAAACUUAGCUCACAUGCAAUGUAUAAAUUUGGUCUAAAAUCCAGCAUUCAAGGUUGUUUGUACGACUCCCAAACAUGUGAAGAAUUUGAAGAUAGUUGGGAUAGGCUUCAUGCUUACAAACUUGAGGACAACGCGUGGCUGAGUGGUGUAUAUAGUGAGCACUCAUUUUGGGUAUCAGGUUUCUUGAAAGAUGUAUUCUAGAUUGGAAUGAGUACCACACAGAGAAGUGAGAGCAUGAAUGCAUUUUUUGAUGGUUUUAUACAUUCGGGUACCACACUGAAAGAGUUUGUAGACCAUUUUUGACAACGUCAUUAAGAAAAAAAAAUUGGGAAUGAACAAGCUGCUGACUUUGUCUCAUGCAACGCCGCAAUACCACGUGUUUCAUUUACCACCAUAGAAAAACAGUUUCAAAAUGUGUACUCAAAUGCUAAGUUCAAGGAGGUGCAAUCUAAAGUAAUGAGAAUGAUAUACUAUAAUUGCUCACUUGCUAGAACAUAGGGUGCGAUCUCCAUGUAUGACAUCUCAGACACUUUGCAGAUCGAGAACUUUAUUAAAUAUGUCAAAUUCUCUGUUUAUUUGAAUAAUGAGGAGAUCAAAGUGAAAUACACAUGUGCAUUUCACUUUGUGUAGAAAUGCAUUUGCUGAAGUGAUCCAUGUUUGUUUGAGACUCGGGAAAUUUUGUGUAGAAAUGCAUUUGCUGUAUAUAGACUUCAUAAGAGGGAUUCAUCCUUACCAUCUAAUUACAUUUUGAAUCGCUUGAGAAAAAACUUGAAGCGUAAAUACACUUUCAUUAAAAGUAGUUAUGACGACUUGCAUGACAAUCCCGAUGCACGGAAGCAUGAAUACCUGAUGAGGUUGUUUUGUGACGUAGCCCCAGAUCUAUUAACAAGUGAAGAGCAUUACCCGAACAUGGUGGACUAUUUACUUGGAGUAAAAGCGGCUUUACGUGACUUGAGGCAUUCAGUUAACAGACCAAGUACAGAUGCUCCUAUAGCCAAGGAUAAGAUUGUACUUAGUCCGAACGUUAUAAGAGGCAAAGGGAGGUCAUGAACAGCACAAAGAGUUUCAACAGUUGAAAAGGCUAUAAAAAGAAAAUAAUCAAAGAAUGAUGGAAGUGGGGACCAUAACAAAGUCAAAAAUAGAAGAAAACUUGAGGUUUGUAAAAUUGUAGAGUUUUCAGUUUUCUCUUUUUGGUAGUAAUUAGAUUGAACGGUUUUGAGUUUUUUUUUUUUUUUUAUAAGUUUGAUUUCAAGAGUUAUAUAUAUAUAUAUAUAUAUAUGUAUUGAUUGUGCAGAGUUGUUUAGCAAGUGAAUCAUAAUAUAGUGCGACCCCUACUGAUAAUAUCAACAAUGUAUAAUUGUAUGCCCAUACUUACAUACUUCACUUGUUUAUGAUUAUACUUAAUAUUCUAACAGUGUUAUUUUUAAUGGAGGAAGUAUGUACAACACGAAGCAGUCCAUAAUGGAAGAAGAUGUUUAGCACAAGUGGAGUACCAAAUUAUGUGAACUAUGGAGAUUUCGUGUAAAAAAAUGAGAGAGUUGAUUUCCUGUAACGGUUCUAAAGAAGAUGUUUUGCCUGUAAUGUAUGAAUUUGGAUAUGAGAAGUGAGAUAAGAAGAAAAAAAAGGUAAUUUUUGUAGCUCUUAGUACUAUGAAUAUUUGCCAUUUCCUUUAAUGGAAAUAUAUUAUCUUCUUUUUGCUGCUCUCA